AUAAAUUAAAAUGGAUAAAAUAAGAAGAUUGAAGCGAACACAAAUUGCAUGAAGGAAGAUUUAAUUGUAUUGCAUAACAAAGAAGAAAGAUUACAGAAUUUGGAGAACGGAAAUUAAAAAUAAUAGAAAUUAAAAACUUUAGCAUAAAUAGAUCUCUCUAUUAAACUAAAACUAAAAAUCCCAAGACAACAUGCUCUCAAAAUAAAACUCUUACUAAAAACAUUACUCUCAAUCAAACUAAAAAUAAAUAAAUAAGAACAACAUGAUACCCAAAACAGAACGAUUAAACACCAAUUAAAAAUAUAACCUUUAAAAGAAAAACAACUAAA
rnacentral:lncRNA from 1 species